UGCCAGCCGCCGCGGUAAUACGGAGGGUGCGAGCGUUAAUCGGAAUUACUGGGCGUAAAGGGCGCGUAGGUGGCCAGAUUAGUCGGGUGUGAAAGCCCCGGGCUUAACUCGGGAAUUGCAUUCGAUACUGUCUGGCUAGAGUGCAGUAGAGGGAAGCGGAAUUCCGGGUGUAGCGGUGAAAUGCGUAGAUAUCCGGAGGAACACCAGUGGCGAAGGCGGCUUCCUGGACUGACACUGACACUGAGGCGCGAAGGCGUGGGUAGCGAACAGGAUUAGAUA
rnacentral:rRNA from 1 species